AAAAUGACUUGCUUAUUGCACCACAUGUGUUUUUCUUUGAAACAAACUUGCUUUGGCGGUGGGCCCAGCCUGCCGCCAGAGGUCUAAACUUACAACCAAUUUUUUAUCAACUUGUCACACCAGAUUAUUACUUAAUAGUCAAAACUUUCAACAACGGAUCUCUUGGUUCUCGCAUCGAUGAAGAACGCAGCGAAAUGCGAUACGUAAUAUGAAUUGCAGAUAUUCGUGAAUCAUCGAAUCUUUGAACGCACAUUGCGCCCUCUGGUAUUCCGGAGGGCAUGCCUGUUUGAGCGUCGUUUCUCCCUCAAACCGCUGGGUUUGGUGUUGAGCAAUACGACUUGGGUUUGCUUGAAAGACGGUAGUGGUAAGGCGGGAUCGCUUUGACAAUGGCUUAGGUCUAACCAAAAACAUUGCUUGCGGCGGUAACGUCUACCACGUAUAUCUUCAAACUUUGACCUCAAAUCAGGUAGGACUACCCGCUGAACUUAAGCAUAUCAAAAGCCGGAGGAA
rnacentral:rRNA from 1 species